UACGACGUAUCAGAGUUUGAUCCUGGCUCAGGAUGAACGCUGGCGGCGUGCUUAACACAUGCAAGUCGAACGGACAAGAGGAAGCCUAGCGAAUCUUGUUAGUGGCGGACGGGUGAGUAACGCGUGGGCAACCUGCCUCAUACUGGGGGAUAACACUUAGAAAUAGGUGCUAAUACCGCAUAAGCGCACGGUACCGCAUGGUACAGUGUGAAAAACUCCGGUGGUAUGAGAUGGACCCGCGUCUGAUUAGCUAGUUGGUGGGGUAACGGCCUACCAAGGCGACGAUCAGUAGCCGGCCUGAGAGGGUGACCGGCCACAUUGGGACUGAGACACGGCCCAA
rnacentral:rRNA from 1 species